rnacentral:rRNA from 1 species
AACGAACGCUGGCGGCAUGCCUAACACAUGCAAGUCGAACGAGACCUUCGGGUCUAGUGGCGCACGGGUGCGUAACGCGUGGGAACCUGCCCUUAGGUUCGGAAUAACUCCCCGAAAGGGGUGCUAAUACCGGAUAAUGUCUUCGGACCAAAGAUUUAUCGCCUUUGGAUGGGCCCGCGUUGGAUUAGCUAGUUGGUAGGGUAAAAGCCUACCAAGGCGACGAUCCAUAGGUGGUCUGAGAGGAUGAUCAGCCACACUGGGACUGAGACACGGCCCAGACGCCUACGGGAGGCAGCAGUGGGGAAUAUUGGAGAAUGGGCGAAAGGCUGAUCCAGCAAGGCCGCGUGAGUGAUGAAGGCCUUGGGGUUGUAAAGCUCUUUUACCCGGGAUGAUAAUGACAGUACCGGGAGAAUAAGCUCCGGCUAACUCCGUG